rnacentral:rRNA from 1 species
UACGAAGGGGGCUAGCGUUGCUCGGAAUCACUGGGCGUAAAGGGUGCGUAGGCGGGUCUUUAAGUCAGGGGUGAAAUCCUGGAGCUCAACUCCAGAACUGCCUUUGAUACUGAGGAUCUUGAGUACGGGAGAGGUGAGUGGAACUGCGAGUGUAGAGGUGAAAUUCGUAGAGAUCGGAAGGAACGCCGGUGGCGAAGGCGGCGACCUGGGUCGAUACUGACGCUGAGGUGCGAAAGCGUGGGGAGCAAACAGG